rnacentral:rRNA from 1 species
GACGAACCGUGCGAACGUUAUUCGGAAUCACUGGGCUUAAAGCGCGUGUAGGCGGCCCGGCACGUCCGUCGCUGAAAUCCCCCGGCUCAACCGGGGAAGUGGCGUGGAUACGACCGGGCUGGAGGGGGGUAGGGGGAGCCGGAACUUCCGGUGGAGCGGUGAAAUGCGUUGAGAUCGGAAGGAACGCCCGUGGCGAAAGCGGGCUCCUGGACCCCACCUGACGCUGAGACGCGAAAGCCAGGGAGCGAACGGG